rnacentral:rRNA from 1 species
AUGAACAGAAAUGUGCGUUCAUUGGCUUUUGCGGACGGUGGGAAUCAGUUACUGAGCAGUGGUGGGGAUGGCCAUGUUUACCACCGGGAUCUUAGAACGAGGAAGUGUAUGCACAAGGCUAUCGACAAGGGUUCCCUGACAGGCCUGCACCUCACAGGACGGCUCUUAUUUCGCCACAGGCUCCAGCAGCAGCAUCGUGAACGUGUACAGCAGGGGCGUGUUCCUCGGCGGGAAGAGGAAGCCGCUGAAGGCGAUCGAGAACCUCACGACCGAGAUCGGUCAGAUGAAGUUCAACCACAACGCCCAGGUUCUGGCGAUAAGCUCGGGGAAGGAGCGGAACAGAAUGAGGCUCGUGCACGUCCCGUCUCUCACCGUGUUCCAGAACUGGCCAGGGCCUCGGUUCAGCCUCCAGUACCCCUGGUGCCUGCGGGUUCCUCUCUGUCGGACACGCCGGCGGAAAAGUGUUGCUGUACAAGCUGCACCACUAUCAGAACGCCUAGGACGACUCGCCUGGAGAGUUCAGUUUUGACACUGUAUUUUUCUGCUUCCUGA